CUCCCAAAUCCUUAGUGUAGUUGACUUGUCUUGGGUGGCACUGUAAGACGGAGUACUCAGAGUAGUUGAAACAUGCAGAAUCUGUUGUAUAACUUUUUUUUCUUUCUUUAAACAGUGUUUUCUAGGAUACAGGCUAGAGUAUCAUAUUUUAGGGGAGAAAUUCAUGACUGACUUUUUUUUCCCCCCAGCCCAACAUGGGUUUUUUUUGUUUGUAUGUAUUUUUUUGUUUGCCUGUUUUUCUGCUUCUUUUUUGGUAGAAAAAAAUAAACACUUAAUAAAACAUAUCCAAUUGUUUAAAUUCUAUGUAUGAUAUUAAAAGUGUAGUUUUGUUUUAAAAUUUCAUUACAUAAAGGCCUCCUGCAUCGAGACAUGGCUGGUACAUUUUUAAGUUCAAAAGAGUGAAACACAUUCAUGGAAGUGAGGCUGUUAAAUCUCUUUUGAUCUUCCUUUCUCACAGCCUCCCAGUUAAAACCGUGGCCUUCUUGUAGGCCCUCCGUGAAAUGCUCCAUGUUUCCCAUUCCCAUUCUCAUCACCAUCACCAGAUGCUUCCAUUCCUGAGAAGACAGGGCCACAGUCUAUGGAAUUCCAUAAAUGCAAACAGCCCCCAAACAAAAGGAGUAAUGCUUCGUAGGACUUGAGCUACCUUUUCUUCAUAAUGUUUGGUUUUCUUCUGCAGUCAGUGUUCUUUAGGCUAGCCCAUUAUGAUGGGCUAUGAUUUAUGAUGGCAUGAUCCCUAAGAGUUUUAGUUCUCCUCUCUCUCUCUCUCUCUUUUUCCCCCCAAAUUAUAAAGACUGUUUUCAGCUUCAGAAAUAAGACAGAGUUUAGCAAAAACACAUAGAGUAUGCAAGUUUCCACAUUACUGUAUCUUUUUGUUCUCUAGUCACUAGCCAGCUAUUUUA
rnacentral:lncRNA from 1 species